GGCGCUGGGAAGGCGGGGUGGCGGCGGCGGCGGCCGCCUGGUAGACUGGCGCUGGGUGAGGCUGUUGGUAGACUCCACCCGGCUUCACCUUCUCAGUGUAGAGAAAGAUUUCCUUAAAAUGACAGCCUGCCAAUCUCCAAGCAAGAUCAUAUCCCCUGUACUGGCUGGGUUUGUGUGUCAACAAGCUGGAGUUAUCACAGAAAAAAGCAGCCUCCCCUGUGGAAAUGUGUCCAUGAGAUCCAGCUGUAAGGCAUUUUCUCAAUUAGUGAUCAAGGGUAGGAGGGCCCAUUGUGAGUGGUGCCAUUCCUGGGCUGUUAGUCCUGGAUUCUACAGGAAAACACACUGAGCAAGCCAGGGGAAGCAAGCCAGUAACAUUCCUCCGUGGGCUUUGCUCCUGCUUCCUGACCUGCUUGAGUUCCAGUCCAGACUUCCGUGGUGAUGAACAGCAGUAUGGAAGUGUAAGCUGAAUAAACCCUUUCCUCCAC
rnacentral:sRNA from 1 species